AAACCAGCACCUCAAGUGGUCAGGAUGAUUAUUGGGCCUAAAGCAUCCGUAGCCUGAUCUGUAAGUUUUCGGUUAAAUCUGUACGCUCAACGUACAGGCUGCCGGGAAUACUGCAGAUCUAGGGAGUGGGAGAGGUAGACGGUACUCGGGAGGAAGUGGUAAAAUGCUUUGAUCUCUCGAUGACCACCUGUGGCGAAGGCGGUCUACCAGAACACGUCCGACGGUGAGGGAUGAAAGCUGGGGGAGCAAACCGGAGUAGAAACCCUAGUAGUCC
rnacentral:rRNA from 1 species